GAGAAAUAGUCGGGGAGCCAAUUGGCUGAGAACGCAUCGCGUGACCCGUUGAACCUGAGGCAGUUAAUACUGACGUAGGGAACUAUGUUGAAGUUGGG
rnacentral:ncRNA from 2 species